CUCACACAGACAAGGCGUCAGACGCAAGCUAUUAAAUCUCACCAGCAAGAUUGCUCUGAUGCAGCCAUGCAGCUUCUCACUCAAAGGAAACAGGGCUGCUCUGCAACAAGCUCCAAGUAAACUUUCUCACAAUGUGUUUAUGGCCAUCUAAACUGUUGCUAGAUAUGUUAGGUGAGGAGGAGGCAAGCUAGCCAGAGCUUCUUGUAGAUGGCAACCACACUGCCCUCUGGAUUCUCCUGAGUCUGCCUGAAGGAUGAGGAAGCAUGCAGAUGACACAUUGCUGGUGAAACAUGGG
ensembl:lncRNA